GAGCACAAGUCCGACGCUUCAGUUAGCGGGCCCCGCCGGCGGCGUACUGGUUACUUGGCCGGACUCCCAGGCUGCCAGGGAUGCUUGGUGGAGCUCAGCAGGACGCCCUCAUCCUGCCUCAGCCUGUCUUCCACAUCAGAGACACUGGCACUUCCCCUCCGGUGCACAGGAUUUGCGUGGCUUCUCCAGGUGUGCAGGAUAAGGGAGUGAAGUCACGAUGGGGAGGCGGCAGCAGACGUGUUGUGCUGGUUGUCGUUUCUGUGGAGGAGCCUGGGGCUGUCACAGCACGCCGCAGUCCAGCACCAGCGAG